rnacentral:sRNA from 1 species
AGCAGCCGCGGUAAUUCCAGCUCCAAUAGCGUAUAUUAAAGUUGUUGCAGUUAAAAAGCUCGUAGUUGAAUUUCGGGGUCAGUAGAUUGGUCGUGCCACUGGUAUGUACUGGUCUUACUGGCUCCUCCUUCCUGAUGAACCGUAAUGCCAUUAAUUUGGUGUUGCGGGGAGACUGGACUGUUACUUUGAAAAAUUAGAGUGUUUAAAGCAGGCUAACGCUUGAAUACAUUAGCAUGGAAUAAUGAAAUAGGACGUUCGAUCUUAUUUUGUUGGUUUCUAAGAUUGACGUAAUGAUUAAUAGGGAUAGUUGGGGGCAUUAGUAUUCAAUUGUCAGAGGUGAAAUUCUUGGAUUUAUUGAAGACUAACUACUGCGAAAGCAUUUGC